rnacentral:lncRNA from 1 species
UUCUAUACACUGGUCCCCAUACGACCCCGUUCGCGUGGUGAACGCCGUUCCUUAAGGACUUUGCCCGGCGCGUCUCUCCGCCCACCCCUCGCUUUCAAUCCCCGCCCUCGACGCCUUUCAACUUCAACUGACGCCUAUGAACUCCACCCCGACAUCGCUUUGUAUGGAACGACCCUGAGCCGCUGGAGACGAAAGCGGGGACGAUGGUGCUGCUGCACGGCGAGAACGUGCACUACAGCGCGCCGAAUAAGAGCGACGCGAGCCGGCACGCGUACAGCGUGCACUUCGUGGAAGCGGACGCGACGUGGGACGAGAGGAACUGGUUGCAGAGGCGCGAGGAUUUUCCAUUCGUGAGGCUCGGGGACGGCGAGGAGUGAGGGCCGUUCUAUACAAGCGAACGUCGGGGCGGAGUUGAAAGGCGUCAGUUGGCGUUGAAAGGCGUCGAGGACGGGGAUUGAAAGCGGGGGAUGAGCGGAGAGAUGCGCCGGCAAAAGUCCUUAAGGAACGGCGUUCACCUCGCCAACGCGGUCGUAUGGGGACUAGUGUAUAGAACGCACCUGAAGACGUCGCGUCGGGAGACGCGCGACGACUGGACGAGGACGGGUUAGCGUCGCGGUCGCGCGAGGCGUCGGGAGAUCUCGCGCGCGUGUAAUAUCAUGAGCGUGUACUAUGCUAUGGUCUGUGAUGCCGUCCGCGGCCGCCGCGCUCGACGCGCGUACUCGUAUCCGCGGCGAGAGUUCGCAUCUCGUAAAAAAUCCUGUCUCAGCAGCCGAGAGAAAAAAUAAUCUGGAAC